rnacentral:lncRNA from 1 species
CAGCCAGCUAAACUAAUUUAAUACUCUUAUUACUUUCCUACAUACAAACUAAAAUAGUAGAGUACGUAAUAUAUUAGACAUGCUGGUGCAUCGUAAUAAACUAAAAUAGUAGACAUUACAUAAUAUAUUAGACAUGAUACAUAACGUUGUUGGCUGGAUAGUAAAAUUAUAUAAACAGAUUAUGGAUAUUAUGGUUAAUAAUUUAAGUCUUUCCAAUCCAUCAGAAGUCUCACUCACUCAAAUAUGUUUAGGACAAAAUGAUCUAUUAAUUGAUUAUUUCUUUCAAUUUGAAUUUAAAAGUUUACCAAUUUUGACAACAUAUUAGACGAGAAAUUUAGUUGAGUUAGCCGGCAAACAUAUAUAAUUCCAUAAUUUAUAUUUUUAUACUGCAUACAUCAAGAAAAAAAUUAAUAGCAUGUUAAUCAAUUUAAUAGACGUGCGACAUAUAUUUUUUAGCCGGCUAAAUUUCUUUAGUACUUAUAUUAUGUUAUAUUUUAGGAUAGAACUUAGGUUCACCCCCAUAGGGUGAACCUUUAAAUUCACUCCACUUUUUACGACCAAUCAAAGUGACACAUAGAUUAUUAAUUAAAAAAUAUUAAAUUAAAUAAAAAAUAACUACAAAAAAUAAAAACGCUAAUUUUAACGACGCUAACGCUUCCAGCUAAACCCUAAAUCUUAAAUUCUAAAUCCUAUACCCUAAAUUCUAAACCCAAAUCCAAACCGCUAAACCCAAACUCUAUACCCUAAACCCUAAUCCUAGACCCUAAACCCAAAUUAUAUACUUUAAACCCAAAAACUAGACUAUAAACCUAAACUCUAUAUCCUAAACCCAAGUCGUAGACCCUAAACCCAAACCGUAAAUCUUAAACCCAAAUUAUAUACCCUAAACCCAAAACUUUAACCAUAAGUCCAAACGGUAAAUCCUAAACCCAAACCGUAAAUCC